GGCGCUGUGGCUCAAGUGGUAGAGCACUAGCCUUGAGCUGAAGAGCUGAGGGUUCGAUUCCUCAGCACCA
rfam:Dipodomys ordii contig_32778, whole genome shotgun sequence.